AUUCAUGGUUCGGCCACAAGGAACAGUUGUGGGCUACAAGCAUUUCAUACUUGAUCCCGUCAAACGGAUUAUAACCCUUUGCCUGCAGCCUAUCUUUGCAACUUGUCCCUCGUGAUCGACUGAUGCAGGAAGUUGUUUCAGACUCGUCUGACAACAUGAACCUCGAUCUCAAAUCAAGUAAGACUACCCGCUGAACUUAA
rnacentral:misc_RNA from 1 species